UUUUGAAAAAAAAAAACAACGCCCUCUCUGCGUGCGUACGCCUCCAUACAACUCAUCCGUCUGGGGCGUUCGCACAGCAUAUGCGUAUGCACCCCCAAUUCACCCCCUUCUGCUGGGAGCAACCGCACAGUCGGUGCGUCCGCACCACCCCUACUCUUCCUUCCCUUCUCUUUUCCAAUUCCCCAACGUUCAUCCCUCUCCUCUCCUUUUCUGUUCCAACAUCCACCACCACCAUCACCCACCAACGUCCACCAGCCGCCACCACUCCCGACGAUCGGCGACCACCGAACCACCAUCCCCUUUUCCCCCUCUCUUCUCCCUCAUCGCUCUUCUCUCUUUCCUCGUCCCUGACCCCUUCUCUGCGCCACCUCAGCCGCGACACCACACUCCCCUCCCUUCAUCCAUAAUCGCCGGCGAUUACCCACACCGCCGCGUCCCUUUCUCUUCCCCUUUCCCUCUUCUAGCUUCCACCGAGCCCAGUGCCCUCGCGACGUUCCCCUUGCGCCUCCUCUUCCCUGACUGCCAACCAUCACCGUCGGCCUUAACCCAGAACCCACCGCGCCAUCGACAAGGCACCACGACCCUCUUCCUUCUUCUUCCCUUUACAGCGCGGCCGUCGCAACCUCCUUAGCUCAGCGCCGAACCAGUCUCCAGCCACUCCAACCUCUUCUCAUCUCUCCACGAGCCCCUAUGUCUGUAUCACUGCACCCCACGGUAGCCAGAGUUGCUGCCGCACCACCUUCGCCGCCGCUUCUGCUCCAGCCGUCCGUUUCACACCACCUCCAUCCUCCCUUUCCUUCCCUGCUCCAAUUUUCUGCUUUCCAGCACCACCAUCACUCUUGCAGCCACUCUAUCGCCUAACCCACCAGUUGAAGGUGGAGGUGACCCAGUGACGACUCCUUCCACUCCGCAUGAUCGCGAGCACCGAGGAUGGUGCUGCAUUUUAAGUGUGGGGAGGUUGUGCAUCUUCAUCAAGCACAUCAUGGGUGACAAUCUUCAUUUUCGAACACUUAGUGUAGUUUUUUUUUUAUGUUUUUUUUGGUACUUUGUAUAUAUUUUAUCCUUUUGAGAAAUUUUUUACUUAGUUUAUUGCACUUUUUAAUUUUGCUUGUACAUAACUUAGUAUUAUAUAGUAGUUAUACAUAUUUGGAUAUUUUGCUCUUAAUUUUGGCUUGUACAUAUGUUCUUUUUGGUUUUUAGUCUUGAUUGUGAUUUGGGAUGAUGUGAUGAUUGCACCUAAGUUUGGUUUCCUAUAUACUUGUUAUUUUGGUUUGAUUGAAAUUAGGAAUUAAACUUAGAAUUUUUGACUUUUUCUAUCCAAUCACACCAUAUACAUAUAUAGAAUAAAUGUUAGUCAAUUUAAUGAAAUUUUCCAAGAAACUUACUCUUUAUAUAGGGCAUUGAAAUUCAAAUUGAAUUGAGUUGAAAAUUUUCAUUGAAACUUGCAUGAUUUAUACAUUGUGGAAUAUGGUUUUUGAGUUAAAGAACAUAUAACUUGUGAGAUUUUGAACCUCAUUGUGUGGUUACACUAUUUGACCACUUAUUUUAUUUUUGUGUGUGCUCUUCUCUAUGAGUGCAAUCUUUAGUUUGUUUAAUUCUAUAUAUCCAUUAUUUAAUGUAUGAUUAUGCAAUUAUGGGAUUGAGGCCAUCACUUCAUUAUAUCUCACUUACCCAAAUAGCCUACCAUUUCAUUCACCUUUAUUUGCCACUUUGAGCCUAUGAAUACCCCCUUUUGUUCUUUAUUUUACCACAUCAUUAACCUUAAGCGAAAAAUAAUGAAAUAUUCUUUGUUUGAAUCUUUGAGUAGCUUAAGUUAGUGUGUGUGAUGUUUAAGUGUGGGGAAGAUAUGGAAAACUUGGGUUGAUGAAAAUGUGUUUUAUUCUUGUUGAAAAAUCUUGGAAAUUUGGGGUGCAUACUCAUGUAAUAUUAUAGAAACCAUAUGCAUUGAUGUGUUGGUAUAUAUAUAUUAUGUUCAUGAAAAAAAAAGAGAAAAAAAAGAAAAGAAAAGACAAAGAAAUAAUGAAAAAAGGGGACAAAAUUAUCCCAAUGAGAAAUUCAAUAAACGUCAACGCAUAUGUGAUUGAAUUUGAUGCAUGAGUGUGUGUAUAUGUAAAAGUGAGAUUAUGGGUAGCUAAGUUCGAUAUUAGAAGUUUAUAGGUUGUGUGUGUGUUAGGUGAUAAUUUAGGCUAAUCAAAGAUUCAAAUGCAAGCUCACUUAGCUAUAUAUACAUCCUUACCUUUAACCUUAGUCCCAUUACAACCUUGAAAAGACCUCCUGAUUUUUGCAUAUGUACAUUAAAUUUGUGUUAAUUGGUUAGAUGAAGAACAAACUUU